AAGAUUGAAGAAUUUUCUAAGAUAACCUGAAAAAAUAAAUCUAUUUGGAUUAAUGGAUCUAAGAAUGGUUCCAAGAUGGAGGGACUUUUGUUAGAUGAUAUGAAUGCUAUAAAGAAUUGAUCACAAAAUUAACACAUUCCUCUUCAGAUGAACUUUAAAUUUAUGAAUUCUCAUUGAUUUUAGAAUUGAGAAUCUCGACUAAAGUGAUUCUAACAAUAAGAAUUUCUAUAAAUUAUUAUAUAUUACUAUCAGUAUUAUUAAUUCGUUGAUAAUGGACCAUAUGAAUAAUUAUGGAGGAAGAUAUAUUUCUGGAAAAUCCCUAUUAUGACUCUUAUCCAUUAAACGCAAAUGAGAAUACACGUUAGAAAAACUUAAUUGAUCGAGCAGUUUCAAAUGUGUUACUAAUUACCACUAUUUACAUGAUAAUUAAGCUCGCGCUAAUAGAAGAGAAAUACGAUAAUCGAUCGUUCUACACUGUCAACUGUGAUAUUAUGAGGAAAUGAAAUAUUUCUUGGAACGAAAUGAAAGAAGUUUCGAUUACUUAUCAUGUUUAUAAUGUUUCGAAAAAAUAUUUUGUUCGUAUAAAAGGAAAAGAAUCGAAACCUUUUACAAACAGUUAAAUUAUAAUUCUAUCUUCAAAGAAAAACCAAUGAAUGAUGGAUUUCUUCGAUCACAAUAAAUUUAAAGGAAAGCAAUAGAAGACCAAAUAUUAAGGAGAGGUAGGAGGGGAGGGGAAGGAAGAAGAAAAAGAAGAAAUAAAAAUAUAUAUAUAUAUAUAUAAGAGAAAAGUAGCGAUGCUGGUCUCGUUAAGACGCUUCAAGAUGGUACUUCCCCCAUUUCCUCCUCAUCUUAUGAUUCGCUAUCAAAGCCGCCAUCUUGAAAGCACUUUAAAUCAAUUUAUUAGCUUCGUUUUUAAUCACCCUCCCCGUUUCGAACUGUCCACGAUAAGGAGGAGAAGACACAGAAGAGAAGAGGUGAAAGAGGAUGAACGAAAGAAAUUACUGACGAGUCGAUCGUGGAAAUAUUUUUCCUCCAAUGGCAGUCUGUCGCUUCGCCUUCAUCAUCCCUUGCAUCUUGAUUAAACAAUCCUACCAUAGCAUUCCGCCAUGCUUGUUCCUCUCGAAAUUACCUCUCAGAUUAUAUUCCAACUAUUCACGUUAUUUAGAUGACACGCCAAUCAACCGAUUUUUAAAGAGAAAUGGAAAUAUAUAGAGAACCUGCUGUGGAUGAUGAUUAAUAUGCGAAUUCCACUCCACAUCAUAUAAAUGAGAUUUAUCAGAGAAGAUGAAGAUUCUGAUUGGUUUGUCAUUUUAAAUUAUUAAUUAGGAAUUAAAGGAUACAAUGUUUUUGUACUAUUGAAAUGGAUUUUUGAAGGGUGAUGUGGAAAUGUACAAAUCUCCUUUGGAUGAUUAAUGAGAAUUCCUUCACAUCCCAUAAGUGGGAUUUAUCAGAGAAGAUGAAGAUUCUGAUUGAUUUGUCAUUUUAAAUUAUUAAAUGGGGAUUAAAGGAUAUAAUGUUUUUGUACUAUUGAAAUGGAUUUUUGAAGGGUGAUGUGGAAAUAUACAGAUCUCCUUUGAAUGAUUAAUGAGAAUUCCUUCACAUCCCAUAAGUGGAAUUUAUCAGAGAAGAUGAAGAUUCUGAUUGAUUUGUCAUUUUAAAUUAUUAAAAUGGGGAUUAAAGGAUACAAUGUUUUUGUACUAUUGAAAUGGAUUUUUGAAGGGUGAUGUGGAAAUAUACAGAUCUCCUUUGAAUGAUUAAUGAGAAUUCCUCUACACCCCAUAAGUGGGAUUUAUCAGAGAAGAUGAAGAUUCUGAUUGAUUUGUCAUUUUAAAUUAUUAAAUAGGGAUUAAAGGAUAUAAUGUUUUUGUACUAUUGAAAUGGAUUUUUGAAGGGUGAUGUGGAAAUAUACAGAUCUCCUUUGAAUGAUUAAUGAGAAUUCCUCUACNAUAAGUGGGAUUUAUCAGAGAAGAUGAAGAUUCUGAUUGAUUUGUCAUUUUAAAUUAUUAAAUAGGGAUUAAAGGAUAUAAUGUUUUUGUACUAUUGAAAUGGAUUUUUGAAGGGGGAUGUGGAAAUGUUCAGCUCUCCUUUAGAUGAUUAAUGAGAAUUCCUUCAAACCCCAUAAGUGGGAUUUAUCAGAGAAGAUGAAGAUUCUGAUUGAUUUGUCAUUUUAAAUUAUUAAAUGGGGAUUAAAGGAUACAAUGUUUUUGUAGUAUUGAAAUUGAAAUGAAUUUUUGAAGGGAGAUGUGGAAAUGUUCAACUCUGCUUUGAAUGAUUCCUUGACAGUUUAUGAAUUUAUUGAGAGAAUAGAGAUUGUGAUUGAUUAGAAUUUGUCAUUUUGAAUUAGUAAAUUGGAAUUGAAAAAUA
rnacentral:lncRNA from 1 species